rnacentral:rRNA from 1 species
UGAGGAAUAUUGGUCAAUGGGCGCAAGCCUGAACCAGCCAUCCCGCGUGAAGGAAGAAUGCGCUAUGCGUUGUAAACUUCUUUUCCAGGGGAAUAAAAUUUCGUACGUGUACGGGACUGAAGGUACCUUGGGAAUAAGCAUCGGCUAACUCCGUGCCAGCAGCCGCGGUAAUACGGAGGAUGCGAGCGUUAUCCGGAUUUAUUGGGUUUAAAGGGUGCGUAGGCGGAAAAAUAAGUCAGUGGUGAAAACCUUCAGCUUAACUGGAGACUUGCCAUUGAUACUGUUAUUCUUGAGUAUAGUUAAGGUAGGCGGAAUGUGUAAUGUAGCGGUGAAAUGCUUAGAUAUGACACAGAACACCGAUCGCGAAGGCAGCUCACUAAAUUGUAACUGACGCUCAUGCACGAAAGCGUGGGGAUCAAACA